rnacentral:rRNA from 1 species
CGGCGUGCCUAACACAUGCAAGCCGAGCGAGGAGAUUCCCUUCGGGGAUGAACCUAGCGGCGGACGGGUGAGUAACACGUGGGCAACCUGCCUUAUAGAGGGGAAUAGCCUUCCGAAAGGAAGAUUAAUACCGCAUAACAUUACAUUUUCGCAUGAAGAAGUAAUUAAAGGAGUAAUCCGCUAUAAGAUGGGCCCGCGGCGCAUUAGCUAGUUGGUGAGGUAACGGCUCACCAAGGCGACGAUGCGUAGCCGACCUGAGAGGGUGAUCGGCCACAUUGGGACUGAGACACGGCCCAGACUCCUACGGGAGGCAGCAGUGGGGAAUAUUGCACAAUGGGGAAACCCUGAUGCCAGCAACGCCGCGUGAGUGAUGAAGGUCUUCGGAUCGUAAAGCUCUGUCUUCAGGGACGAUAAUGACGGUACCUGAGGAGGAAGCCACGGCUAACUACGUGCCAGCCGCGGC